UCUGUCUGAUGGUGGUUCUGUCUGAUGGUGAUUGUCCCUGCAGUGAUCCUGUCGUACACCUCGCUUACUACUUUGUCUGAAUCAUUUCUGUUAUAUGAAUUGAAUGUCUUGUACAUAUUUUACAUUGUUCAUUCUGUACACAUGACAUUGUAGUCUCACUAAGGUUUCUUUCUCUCCCCAUAUAUUUAGAAAGAGUUUUUCUGUGCCGAUGUGAAGGUUUCUGGACAGAGGAUGUUGCCUGCCACGGCCCUCUUCAGUCACAGACGACGAAGCCUGCGAUGCACCAGAGGACCUGCUGGAGGCUCCACAUGAACUCCACCUUGUCCCCUGAGAGGACUUUCACGAACCUGCUUCCCGUAACUUGAUCCCGUCAAGCAGGAGAGCGAGGUGGUGACACGACGGAGGAUGUGACUCACGUGCAAACACUUUCAGUCUGGGCUCGUGGGAAAGCUGCCUUCAGAGAUCUCCCGCUCUGAUCGACUUGCAGGAAAAGUGAUUUUCCCCAUUUGUGGUCUCAGUCAUUAUUCAGAAGAAUGCAAAAUGCUUCGGCAGUAAAUUGAGGGAGACAAUAUCUGCAGAUUCAUGCUUUUUCAACUUUCCGGAACGAGCUAUUUCCGUCUUGCUUUUCUCAAAGUGAUAGAUGUGUGACCUCCAGCAAUCUUACACUUUUUGCAUCCAAUUAUUUAGUGUUAUGCCUGUAAAUAGAUGCUUGCCGUUUUGUGCCAUGAGCAUAUUUUCUCUACUUUUUCUUUCUUCCUGACGGAGUGACUGAAAGUAGCAAAGCAGAUGUUGAAUGUCUGGGAGACACGUUAGCUUUCUCUCCGUCUCGUCCUCCUCUCAUCUCUGUCUCUCCUCGACCCUGUUAUUAUCCCACCACUUUCCUCCUCCCUCCACCACAGCCGACUCUCUUUUCAUUACUGUCUUCUGCUUUCUAAUGUUUCCUCUCCACCAGAAUAGGAGGCCUGAAGCCCCGUCUGUAUUUCAUAGCAUGUGCAACCGAAAUAUCACAAGCUAUCGUAACCUCUUGACCUCUUAAUUUUCCUGCUGAAUGACUGGAAAAGGCUUCAUCACAAACAACAUAGAUCGGUAGAUUAGCACUACGUCACAGCCACUAAACCCUGAAUGUGUGAUGGAACGAUCUGGGUAUCACACUGCUCAGCCUUCCCUGUAAAGCGGAUAGGAGGCUGCGACCGCUUGUUGAACCUCGGAUUCAAGAGGAGCAGUGAAGCAGCUCUUUACCCUCGCAAGACCACUGGAG
ensembl:lncRNA